rnacentral:tRNA from 1 species
GGUGUAGCUCAGUGGUAAAGCACUUGCCUAGCAUGCAAGAGACCCUGGGUUCAAUCACCAGUACC